rnacentral:tRNA from 1 species
AGCGGGCGUAGCUCAGUGGUAGAGCACAACCUUGCCAAGGUUGGGUGUGAGUUCGAAUCUAUCGCCCGCUCC